rnacentral:misc_RNA from 1 species
AAAUGCGAUAAGUAAUGUGAAUUGCAGAAUUCAGUGAAUCAUCGAAUCUUUGAACGCACCUUGCGCUCCUUGGUAUUCCUUGGAGCAUGCCUGUUUGAGUAUCAUGAAAUCUUCAAAGUAAAUCUUUUGUUAACUCAAUUGGUUUCUACUUGGUAUUGGAGGUCUUUGCAGCUUCACACCUGCUCCUCUUUGUUCAUUAGCUGGAUCUCAGUGUUAUGCUUGGUUCCACUCGGCGUGAUAAGUUAUCUAUCGCUGAGGACACUGUAAAAGGUGGCCAAGGUAAAUGCAGAUGAACCGCUUCUAAUAGUCCAUUGACUUGGACAAUACUUUUAUGAUCUGAUCUCAAAUCAGGUAGGACUACCCGCUGAACUUAAGC